CAAAAUCGAAUCUCCUUUCUCAUACUCUGUUUUGAUUUCAAGACAACUGUUGAUUCUUUUCCAUUAUCUGAUUAAUUGGUCUGCUGUGAUUACAGAUUUUGGGUUAAUCUCCGAUUUGUUUUAUGCCGGAAACAAAAGUUGUGGAAGCUUUUGGAACAGACGGUGACGUACGGUGGAAGAAAAAGUUGGAUGUCGUACAUGCAAAACCAUUUCCACGUUUCCAAACGCUUCCGCGUAUCCGUUUCUGAUUCCAUGCAAAAGGGAUGUCGUACAUGCAAAACCGUUCGUUAUGAUUUUGAAUGUUUCGAGAAAAACUGCGUCGUGGAAUCUUUGUUCGUGAGAUUUAGUCACCAUAAUCAUUGUUCGUGGGAUUUAGUUUACCAUAAUCGCCGCAAGCAUAAUCGUCACUCGUGGUCUCGUGUGUAACAGGGGAAAUAUGUCCAUUGUAGGAAUGUUGUACAUGCAGGUCCAUUAUGAUUUUGAAUGUUACAGGGAAUCAUUGUUCGUUGGAGUUGUUCACCAUAAUCGCAUAUACGGCAAGUAAUUGUUUACCAUAAUCGGUCGUCGUGGUCUCUCGUGUGUUAUAGAGAAUAUAUGUCCAUUGUAGGGAUGACGUACAUGCAGAAUCGUCUAUUAUGAUUUUGAAUGUUUAAGAGACAACUACGUCGUAGAAUCAUUGUUCGUGGGAGUUGUUCACUUUAAUCUCAUAUACGGCAUGUAAUUGUUUACCAUAAUCGCUGCAAACAUAAUCAUCAUUCGUGGUCUCGUGUGUA